rnacentral:tRNA from 1 species
GACCGCGUAGCUCAAUUGGAAGAGCAUUGGGCUAGCAUUCCAAAUUAGGUCGUAGGUUCGAUUCCCACCGUGGCCG